rnacentral:rRNA from 1 species
GAUGAACGCUGGCGGCGUGCUUAACACAUGCAAGUCGAACGAAGCACUUUAUUCAGAAUUCUUCGGAAGGAAGAAUGUUGUGACUGAGUGGCGGACGGGUGAGUAACGCGUGGAUAACCUGCCUCAUACAGGGGGAUAACAGUUAGAAAUGACUGCUAAUACCGCAUAAGCGCACAGUACCGCAUGGUACGGUGUGAAAAACUCCGGUGGUAUGAGAUGGAUCCGCGUCUGAUUAGCUAGUUGGUGGGGUAAUGGCCCACCAAGGCGACGAUCAGUAGCCGACCUGAGAGGGUGACCGGCCACAUUGGGACUGAGACACGGCCCAAACUCCUACGGGAGGCAGCAGUGGGGAAUAUUGCACAAUGGGGGAAGCCCUGAUGCAGCGACGCCGCGUGAAGGAAGAAGUAUUUCGGUAUGUAAACUUCUAUCAGCAGGGAAGAAAAUGACGGUACCUGACUAAGAAGCCCCGGCUAACUACGUGCCAGCAGCCGCAGUAACAC